GAUGAACGCUGGCGGCGUGCCUAAUACAUGCAAGUCGAGCGAACGGACGAGAAGCUUGCUUCUCUGAUGUUAGCGGCGGACGGGUGAGUAACACGUGGAUAACCUACCUAUAAGACUGGGAUAACUUCGGGAAACCGGAGCUAAUACCGGAUAAUAUUUUGAACCGCAUGGUUCAAAAGUAAAAGACGGUCUUGCUGUCACUUAUAGAUGGAUCCGCGCUGCAUUAGCUAGUUGGUAAGGUAACGGCUUACCAAGGCAACGAUGCAUAGCCGACCUGAGAGGGUGAUAGGCCACAUUGGAACUGAGACACGGUCAAGACUCCUACGGGAGGCAGCAGUAGGGAAUCUUCCGCAAUGGGCGAAAGCCUGACGGAGCAACGCCGCGUGAGUGAUGAAGGUCUUCGGAUCGUAAAACUCUGUUAUUAGGGAAGAACAUAUGUGUAAGUAACUGUGCACAUCUUGACGGUACCUAAUCAGAAAGCCACGGCUAACUACGUG
rnacentral:rRNA from 1 species